UCAUUAAAUUUCUUUAAUAUUGUUUUGUGUUUUUCCUGCAGGUUUUGCUCUAGAGACAAAUGAACGUUCACUAAUAAUGAAAUGAGGCUUUGAUGAUGUCUGUGUUGCUGGAAACAUUGAUUUAGUUUCCAGUUCUUUUCUGCUUGUGUUAUAUCAGAAUUA